rnacentral:snoRNA from 1 species
CUGCAUGUUUUGGCCCUGGGCCAUUGUUAGUCCCUCUCCAUUUGUAGAGUGGACGAUGACAAACAUGCUAGAUUAACACUUAAAAUAUUUGGGAGUUAACAGGGCCACCAGUCUUUCAAGGUCAGACUGAGUUGGUAGUAUAAUACUCCAACACUU